ensembl:snoRNA predicted gene, 22588
GGAUACUUAGAGAAACUCUGUCUCAAAAAACAUAGAAAGACAGAGUACACACAAGAAGAAAAGUAACUGCACUGGAUCCCAAAGACAGGGGUGGACCUCUUUCUUAAUGUCCAGUGUCCUUUGUCUUAAGAUUUGGUGCAAUAAGU